rnacentral:lncRNA from 1 species
UUUCCAAUGGCCACGCGUCUGCGGCAAUAAGCAAACGUGAACGGGGUAUAAAAUGACGUCCGAUGAGAUGGAAAAGGGACAUCGAGCUUCAUCGCUGACUUCGAUAGGCCAUUCAUUUCCAACGAGUGCUCUCACGAAAAUGCGUUUCAUCAUCCAGCUGGUACUGCUCGUCACUAUUUGUGCGGCCCUUUAUUCUCGAGUUGACGCAGACCCGGUAGACAACGAUCAACAAGCUACAAUGUUUGUGAGAGGCAUCCUCGGUGACUUGCAAGAAGAACUUGAUAAAGGACCAUGCGAUCCCAGGAAGUUCGACAAGUGCUUUACAAAAUGCUUUAACAAAUUGCCGUUGCUUCAAUGCAGGGAUCACUGCCUACUAAAUGGAUGCUAAGACGCUGAACAUAUGUUUCUUCCGUUUAAGGGCAGAACAACCCUCAGCGUCCUCUACUGUCUUGUUUUUAAGUGGCUAAUACACAUAGAAUAGAAGCAUUUAA